rnacentral:rRNA from 1 species
AGAUUCCGGAGAGGGAGCCUGAGAAAUGGCUACCACAUCUAAGGAUGGCAGCAGGCGCGCAAAUUGUCCAAUCCCAAUGCAUUGGGGAGACAGUGAGAAGAAGUAUCAAUGCAGGGCUUAUAGCUUUGCAAUUGGAAUGAGUUCAACCCAAAUGCCUUUACAAGUAUCAAUUGGAGGGCAAGUCUGGUGCCAGCAGCCGCGGUAAUUCCAGCUCCAAUAGCGUAUAUUAAAAUUGUUGCAGUUAAAACGCUCGUAGUUGAAAUUUUGGUAGUAAUAAUGUGUAUCUCUUUGAGUAUGUACCCGUUGUUAUUAUCAUUAUUCCGGUAUAUACAAGGGGUAAUUCUUUUGUGUUGUCGGAACUGUUACUUUGAGAAAAUUAGAGUGUUUCAAGCAGGCGUGAUGCCU